AAAUAAUAUAGAAAUUGCCUUUUUCAAUAUUGCUUUUAUUGUAUUUACUAAUUUAUACGAAAGAACCUUAUUUUUAAGUGUUUAAAAGUAAUACUACAUAUGAAUACCACGUAUUUAAGCGAGACGCUUGAGGGAACAGGACGAGCUGAAGACUACAGGCUGAAGCUGUCCCCUAAGCAAGCGAGCUAACAAUACGAAGAAUUAAUAACGUGUUAAAG
rnacentral:ncRNA from 1 species